GAUGAACGCUGGCGGCGUGCCUAAUACAUGCAAGUCGAGCGAACAGACGAGGAGCUUGCUCCUCUGACGUUAGCGGCGGACGGGUGAGUAACACGUGGAUAACCUACCUAUAAGACUGGGAUAACUUCGGGAAACCGGAGCUAAUACCGGAUAAUAUAUUGAACCGCAUGGUUCAAUAGUGAAAGACGGUUUUGCUGUCACUUAUAGAUGGAUCCGCGCCGCAUUAGCUAGUUGGUAAGGUAACGGCUUACCAAGGCAACGAUGCGUAGCCGACCUGAGAGGGUGAUCGGCCACACUGGAACUGGGACACGGUCCAGACUCCUACGGGAGGCAGCAGUAGGGAAUCUUCCGCAAUGGGCGAAAGCCUGCCGGAGCAACGCCGCGUGAGUGAUGAAGGUCUUCGGAUCGUAAAACUCUGUUAUUAGGGAAGAACAAAUGUGUAAGUAACUAUGCACGUCUUGACGGUACCUAAUCAGAAAGCCACGGCUAACUACGUG
rnacentral:rRNA from 1 species